UCAGGAGCGCAGCCAUGUUGGCGGCGGCGGCGGCGGGACUGGAAGAGGAGGAGGAGGAGGAGACGGAGGAGGAGAAGGAGGAGGCGGAGGUGGGGACGGCGGCCGGGGCGCGCCCCGAGGCCCGGCUCCAGCCGGGCAUGCUCCCCCUCCCCUCCCCCUCGGCGCGCGCCGCUCCCUCGCCGGCCCCGCGAGAAAACUCGCCCCGAAACGCCGGCCCGGGCGCCGCCCCCCGAACACGAUCACACCUCCGAGAGGAAAGUGGCCCGGCCGUGUUCGCCAGGGCCCCCCCACCCCCGACGGCUCGGGGGCCGCCUCGGCCCGGCCCGUGCGCCCCAGCCCGCCUCACCGGGGCCCCGCGGCCGCCGGCCCCUCCGCCAUGCCCGCCGCCGCCGCCGCCGGUUGAAUUGUGUCUCCCCUCCAAAAAGAUAUGUUCAAACCCUGACUCUCAGCACCUGUGAAUGUGACCUGAUUUGGAAAGGGGAAUUUGGACACAGACACACACACACAGAGGAGAAGACCGUGUGAAGACAGACACAGAGGUUGGAGUGAUGCAUCUCCAAGUCAAAAAAAGCCAAGGGUUGCCAGCAACCUCCAAAAGCUGGGGAAGGAGGUCUGGAACACUCUCCCUCAGAGCCUCCCAGAAGGAACGAAUUCUGCUAACACCCCAAUUUCUGACCUCCAGCCUCCAGAACUCAUGCGGAAUCCUAGUUCCCUGACCAGGGAUUGAACACGUGCCCCUGCAGUAGAAGCACCGAGUCUCAACCAAUGGAUCAGCAGGGAAGUCCCAAGUUGUGGGUAACAUUCCUGCAGAAUUUUGAAAGCAUUGCUUAAGUGUCUUCUCACUUCCGGUGCUUCUGUUGAGACAUUCAAGCCAUUUUAAUUCCUGAUCUGAUCCCUCUCCCUUUGGUGAGAUCUCUUUGUCUUCCGUGUUCUGAAUUAUAAUGAUUUGUCUUGAUACGGGUCGUCUAUUUUCAUCCAUUAUGUCAGGUGUUCAAUGGGCCCUUUUAAUCUGGAAGUGCAUGUCCUUCAGUUUCGGAAAAUUUUCUUCAAGCAUUUCUUUCAU